GGAUAAUCUGCCCUCAGGUGAGGAAUAAUCCCGGGAAACUGGGGCUAAUGCCUCAUAGGAGACGGGUGCUGGAAUGCUCUGUCUCCCAAAGGUCCGCCGCCUGAGGAUGAGUCUGCGUCCGAUUAGGUAGUUGUUGGGGUAACGGCCCAACAAGCCUUUGAUCGGUACGGGUUGUGGGAGCAAGAGCCCGGAGAUGGAUUCUGAGACAUGAAUCCAGGCCCUACGGGGCGCAGCAGGCGCGAAAACUUUACAAUGCGAGCAAUCGUGAUAAGGAAACCCUGAGUGCCUGUCAAUGCAGGCUGUUCUGGUGUCUAACACACACCAGGAGAAAGGGCGGGGCAAGACCGGUGCCAGCCGCCGCGGUAAUACCGGCUGCUCGAGUGAUAGCCACUUUUACUGGGCUUAAAGCGUUCGUAGCUUGGUCGUUAAGUCUCUGGGGAAAUCUUUUGGCUCAACCAAAAGGCGUCUCAGGGAAACUGACGAUCUUGGGACCGGGAGAGGUAAGACGUACUUCGGGGGUAGGAGUGAAAUCUUGUAAUCCCCGAGGGACGACCGAUGGCGAAGGCAUCUUACCAGAACGGCUUCGACAGUGAGGUACGAAAGCUGGGGGAGCAAACCGGAUUAGAUACCCGGGUAGUCCCAGCCGUAAACGAUGUGCGUUAGGUGUGUCAGUGACCACGAGUCGCUGAGGUGCCGAAGGGAAACCGUGAAACGCACCGCCUGGGAAGUACGGUCGCAAGGCUGAAACU
rnacentral:rRNA from 1 species